UACGGAGGGUGCGAGCGUUGUCCGGAAUCACUGGGCGUAAAGGGCGCGUAGGCGGCCUGGUAAGUAGGGGGUGAAAUCCUGCGGCUUAACCGCAGGGCUGCCUUCUAAACUGUCAGGCUCGAGCACGGUAGAGGCAGAUGGAAUUCCCGGUGUAGCGGUGGAAUGCGUAGAGAUCGGGAAGAACAUCAGUGGCGAAGGCGGUCUGCUGGGCCGUUGCUGACGCUGAGGCGCGACAGCGUGGGGAGCAAACAGG
rnacentral:rRNA from 3 species